GGGCAUCAACAGGAAAAGGGGCACAAAGACAUACUUUUCUUUCUUAUUCUCAUUUAAAAUAUGUAGCUUUUAAUAAAUAAUUAUCUGAAUCUUACACCCAAAGUUUUAAUCUGGGUGCACUGGACCUAUAAAGACAGGUGGUCGGGUUUUUGUGCUGGACCACACACGCUGGACACGACGCAUGAAAGAGGCAAUAGAUGAUCUGCUGCAAAAGUACCAUGGGAAGAAGGACAUCCUGAAGCUUGUGGAUCAAGAUUAUGCAGACAUGGUCCAUGGUUCUGCUGCAGAUCCCAACAGCCUGCUGCAUCCCACAUCCAAGGUGCACAUAUCCCGUUAUGUGAAGCACUUGGCUAAGCUUCUCAACACCAAUUCAUCUUUGAACACAAGCCCAGAAAAACUUCUGGAGACUCAGCAGCUGUGGCACUCAUUAACGGAAGGCAGUGAAACAACUAGUGUUCCCGUAGUCACCAUAGAGCCUGCCGUCUUUAACCCGCCUCCUCCUGCCCUGUCUGCACCACUGACUCAAUAGAGAAGAUUGUGGAGGGCAUCUUAGAAAAGCAACAGCAGCAGCAGCCUGAGGGAAAAAGAAGGCAGACAAAGACUUGUCUUGCCUGUGGACAGCCCAAGUCUCAAUAUGAGACACACGGAUCCACCGUCCACUAUUUUUUUACCAGAGAGGGCCUGUGCUCUAUUUCUAUUGUUCCAACAAGGUGCAUCAAACUUAUGCUGCUGAGGGAAUCAGUAACCCGAAAAUGCCCUUUGAGGAAUUUGCCCAGACAGAAUUUUUCCAAAGGGAUCUGGAUGCUACCAGGAAGAGGUCAGAGGAAAGGAUGGAGAAAAAGAGGAAAAGGCCAGAAACCCAACAAACAGGCCGCCUCUGCAGGUUCUGCCACAUGGACCUGAAACAGGGACCAAAUAGCCCACAUGUUCAUACGGGUUUCCCUGGAGUGGCAGGGAAAUAUAUCUACUGCCCUUCAAAAGUGCACUCUGUACAGGGACAAGGGCAUGGCCAAGGAGAUGACCUGGAAGGAGUUUCAGGAGUCUCCUUUCUGUGAGGCAGAGAGACAAAGAUGGGUGGAAGAAAAAAGGAAAUAGGGGAGAAACAGUUUAUAUUGUAAAUAAGAUAGUUUUGUUCUAGUUUCGUAAUGUUUAUUUUGUUUAUAUAAAUAAAAACUGAUUGUAAAUAUAAAAUCUAAAUAAAUUGUCUUCUGUAAAAGCACAGCUCUCUUCUUUAUAACCUCUUAGAGUUCACCUGUAUGUUUAUAUAUCUGUGUAAGCUUACCAUCAGGUAAUCAGUUUUAAAAAGUUGUGAGUGCUGCCCUGAAAGCUUACAUAUUAAUUCUAAAUCACUUCAUGUAAUGAUAACAAGCCAUCCUUUCUCUAGUGGCGUCUCACAGCUUUUGUCUUUAUAAUCUUUCUGCUUGAUUUAUAUCAUUAGAAACAUGACUGAUGUCUUUUAUCUGUGUGACUGUACAGCCUGUUUCAGACAUGACAACCAGACAGUGUCUGAAGUUAUCUUUAAUACAUGCAACACAGCUGGAGGUAGUCCAGACACUUUCUCACUUCUGGUGAUAAUAUUUUUGGUUUAGGUAUUGUUGCUUGCUGGCUUGAAGCUUAUCUACAAAAACAGUUCAAUAAGGAAAGAUCAUGUGGAAAAAACCAAC
ensembl:lncRNA